rnacentral:rRNA from 1 species
GAUCCUGGCUCAGAUUGAACGCUGGCGGCAUGCCUUACACAUGCAAGUCGAACGGUAACAGGUCUUCGGAUGCUGACGAGUGGCGAACGGGUGAGUAAUACAUCGGAACGUGCCCGAUCGUGGGGGAUAACGAAGCGAAAGCUUUGCUAAUACCGCAUAAGAUCUAAGGAUGAAAGCAGGGGACCGCAAGGCCUUGCGCGAACGGAGCGGCCGAUGGCAGAUUAGGUAGUUGGUGGGAUAAAAGCUUACCAAGCCGACGAUCUGUAGCUGGUCUGAGAGGACGACCAGCCACACUGGGACUGAGACACGGCCCAGACUCCUACGGGAGGCAGCAGUGGGGAAUUUUGGACAAUGGGCGCAAGCCUGAUCCAGCCAUGCCGCGUGCAGGAUGAAGGCCUUCGGGUUGUAAACUGCUUUUGUACGGAACGAAAAGACUCUGGUUAAUACCUGGGGUUCAUGACGGUACCGUAAGAAUAAGCACCGGCUAACUACGUG